rnacentral:lncRNA from 1 species
CAUAUAUACGUGCAGAAAAAAUUAUAUGAAGCGCUAUUAUAAGUACAGCCAUGGUAUGAUACGGAGGGCGGCGAGAGGCGACACAGGAACCUAGCAGCAGCACACCAUCAAUAAAAACCAGCAAUAACAGAAUAAUAAACAAGCACUCGCGAACGAUGUACAUGAAUUAGUAUUAGUGAAUACACAUAUGUACAUACAUAAAUAUAUAUAUUAUAUUCGAGCGGGGUUUCACUGGGUUAUGAGCAGGCGGGGGGAAGCGGGGCGGCGAUAUUAUUCCCAGUUUUGCCCGAAUUGGUGGUCAGGAAGAGUUGCAGCGGAGAAGAGAUGGAAAACUACGAUUCAGCGAACGAGAAAACCAGUCAAACUCACACGAAUAACAAUAGUAACAGCAACAAGGGCACCAGCAAAAAUUAACACAAACAGGAACAACAGGCGUGCGAAAUAGCAACAACUAACACAAGCUGAUGAUACAUAGUACGUAUGUACAUUAGAGUGGUUCUUGCAUCCAUAUAUAUUUUCUUUGUAUUGUUUUUUGAGCAGCUACCCCCUAAAAUAGUUACAUAACAGUUGAGAAAGUAUUUCUCAUUAAAUAUUGUUUCAAUUGAUCCAGAUUGAGCCGUGCAUGUAAAAAGUACUAAAUAUGUAUACAUAUUAUGUAUGUAUAUUUAGGGCCGUUUUCUCAAGUAACCUGUAAGUUUAAAGCUCACUUUAUAUAUAAAGGUUGCAUUAAAAUUUAUGAUUGUGUCCGAAGUAAAGCAUUUCGACUUGUUUGUGGCACGGGUUAGACCUGAUUUAUUGGGCCAAAUAUUUCAGGGAAUUACUUUUUCAAUAAAGGUAACCAUUACAAGGGGUACCACCCGCAAUUUUUUCGAUUUUUAAAAAUAAGGGCCACACUAAUGUACAUGCAUACAUACAUAUGUAGAGUACUUAGGGGCAGCGGCGGCAUUGUUAACAGCGCCGCCAACAGCGACGUUGACCGCGCGCAACGUCGACGCUAUCAAAACGAACGAUGAUGGCCACGAAGGCAAUGAAAGCGACUACGACGCCACGACGAUGAUGAAGGUAGAAAAUAGAACUUUCCAUACGGUCUGCUAGCGACGACAGCGGCAUUGAGAAUUGAAACUUUUGUGUGAUCGUACCGCAUCGCGGCAGCGACGACGACACGGAGUGCUGAAAAUUUUAUUUAGUUAAAAAUGUUGGGGGAAAAAAAUUCAAUAAAAAUAUAGGCAACAACAAAAUUGCAUUGUGGAAAAUCUUCAAACAAUUUAGGCAAAUUAAUUUACAAAUUUAAAAAAAAAUUGGAAAAUUUAAAACGCCUUGCAGUUAGUGUAAACAAGUUAAUAAAAUAAAACUUUGAAAAAAUAUCCACGUUUCGAACGGCGAGUACACACAUGUAGGAGGUAGCUGCACCCAGCGAGAGCACAAAAUACAUAAAAAAUAUACUUAUAUUUAAAUGUACGUACACAUAUAAAUUAGUAAUACGCAAAAAGGGAGGAAAAAAAAUUUUAAAUAAUGGUGAAACCAACCUAAAAAACCAUAAGGCAAACAAAUUAAAAGCUGAAUUAAUAUAUUUUGUGAAAGAAAAAGACGUUACUAACAAAAACACAAACAUAGGUUCCUACAAUUAAAAACAAUUUCAAUUUGGAGAAUGCGCUCAAGUGUACACUCAGCAAAAUUGCGUGACAAAAAAUUAAUACGCAAGCAAAUAAGUGAAGCAAAAUCCAUACAUAGUACCUAUUUACACAUGUACAUAUGCACCUAAAUACAUACCUGCGUGUGUAUGUAUUUCUACUGAAAUCUGUGGAAAUCCAUCCAACGCAUUUAUCGCAUAACCAGCAACCCUUGGCAGCAAGCAGCAGCCCCAAAAUUUUGUGGCAACGAGCAGCAACAGCAACAGCAACAGCGGUGGCAGUAGAAAAUUUUCAAGCAGCUUGUGAAAUGGUUCAACUCGCACACAUUUGCCCAUUACAUCUCAUUUGAGAGGAAGGUAAUGGAAUAUACGAGUACUUAAGGAAGAAUGACUAGCAAAAACUACGAAACGACUAUUACAAAAAAAAGGGAGGCAAAAGGGGCGUGAAUAAAAGAGGAAGCAUGAACAAAACAUGAAUGACGACAACGAAAUUAUGUGCACACAUACAUAGUAGAAGAAGAAACGAUAGAGACAUCAAUGGCGACGUUAACGCCAACAGAAGAGCAGCGCGUUAGAGAUUGCUUUAUGAAAGCAGCGGAAGCGCGGUGAUGUUUGCGGAAAUGUGCUCAUAGAUGGCGAAAGUAAA